GACGAACGCUGGCGGCGUGCCUAAUACAUGCAAGUCGAGCGAGCUUGCCUAGAUGAAUUUGGUGCUUGCACCAGAUGAAACUAGAUACAAGCGAGCGGCGGACGGGUGAGUAACACGUGGGUAACCUGCCCAAGAGACUGGGAUAACACCUGGAAACAGAUGCUAAUACCGGAUAACAACACUAGACGCAUGUCUAGAGUUUAAAAGAUGGUUCUGCUAUCACUCUUGGAUGGACCUGCGGUGCAUUAGCUAGUUGGUAAGGCAACGGCUUACCAAGGCAAUGAUGCAUAGCCGAGUUGAGAGACUGAUCGGCCACAUUGGGACUGAGACACGGCCCAAACUCCUACGGGAGGCAGCAGUAGGGAAUCUUCCACAAUGGACGCAAGUCUGAUGGAGCAACGCCGCGUGAGUGAAGAAGGGUUUCGGAUCGUAAAGCUCUGUUGGUAGUGAAGAAAGAUAGAGGUAGUAACUGGCCUUUAUUUGACGGUAAUUACUUAGAAAGUCACGGCUAACUACGUG
rnacentral:rRNA from 1 species